GAUGAACGCUGGCGGCGUGCUUAACACAUGCAAGUCGAGCGAGAAAAGUUCUUCGGAGCUUUUCUAGCGGCGGACGGGUGAGUGACACGUGGGCAACCUGCCUCAUAGAGGGGAAUAGCCUUCCGAAAGGAAGAUUAAUACCGCAUAAUAUUGUUGAAAGGCAUCUUUUAACAAUCAAAGGAGCAAUCCGCUAUGAGAUGGGCCCGCGGCGCACUAGCUAGUUGGUGAGGUAACGGCUCACCAAGGCGACGAUGCGUAGCCGACCUGAGAGGGUGAUCGGCCAAAUUGGAACUGAGACACGGUCCAGACUCCUACGGGAGGCAGCAGUGGGGAAUAUUGCACAAUGGGGGAAACCCUGAUGCAGCAACGCCGCGUGAGUGAUGAAGGUCUUCGGAUUGUAAAGCUCUGUCUUUAGGGACGAUAAUGACGGUACCUAAGGAGGAAGCCACGGCUAACUACGUGCCAGCCGCCGCAGUAAAAC
rnacentral:rRNA from 1 species